rnacentral:rRNA from 1 species
UACGUAGGGGGCUAGCGUUGUCCGGAAUCAUUGGGCGUAAAGCGCGCGUAGGCGGCCCGGUAAGUCCGCUGUGAAAGUCAAAGGCUCAACCUUUGAAUGUCAGCGGAUACUGCCGGGCUAGAGUCCGGAAGAGGCGAGUGGAACUCCUGGUGUAGCGGUGGAAUGCGCAGAUAUCGGGAGGAACACCAAUGGCGAAGGCAGCUCGCUGGGACGUGACUGACGCUGAGACGCGAAAGCGUGGGGAGCAAACAGG